rnacentral:rRNA from 1 species
GUGGGGAAUCUUAGACAAUGGGGGAAACCCUGAUCUAGCCAUGCCGCGUGAGCGAUGAAGGCCUUAGGGUUGUAAAGCUCUUUCAGCUGGGAAGAUAAUGACUGUACCAGCAGAAGAAGCCCCGGCUAACUCCGUGCCAGCAGCCGCGGUAAUACGGAGGGGGCUAGCGUUGUUCGGAAUUACUGGGCGUAAAGCGCACGUAGGCGGAUCAGAAAGUCAGAGGUGAAAUCCCAGGGCUCAACCUUGGAACUGCCUUUGAAACUCCUGGUCUUGAGGUCGAGAGAGGUGAGUGGAAUUCCGAGUGUAGAGGUGAAAUUCGUAGAUAUUCGGAGGAACACCAGUGGCGAAGGCGGCUCACUGGCUCGAUACUGACGCUGAGGUGCGAAAGCGUGGGGAGCAAACAGGAUUAGAAACCCCGGUAGUCC